rnacentral:rRNA from 1 species
AAUAGAUACCCGGGUAGUCCACGCCGUAAACGAUGAGUGCUAAGUGUUAGAGGGUUUCCGCCCUUUAGUGCUGCAGCUAACGCAUUAAGCACUCCGCCUGGGGAGUACGGCCGCAAGGCUGAAACUCAAAGGAAUUGACGGGGGCCCGCACAAGCAGUGGAGCAUGUGGUUUAAUUCGAAGCAACGCGAAGAACCUUACCAGGUCUUGACAUCCUCUGCCAACCCUAGAGAUAGGGCGUUCCCCUUCGGGGGACAGAGUGACAGGUGGUGCAUGGUUGUCGUCAGCUCGUGUCGUGAGAUGUUGGGUUAAGUCCCGCAACGAGCGCAACCCUUGAUCUUAGUUGCCAGCAUUUGGUUGGGCACUCUAAGGUGACUGCCGGUGACAAACCGGAGGAAGGUGGGGAUGACGUCAAAUCAUCAUGCCCCUUAUGACCUGGGCUACACACGUGCUACAAUGGAUGGUACAAAGAGCUGCGAACCCGCGAGGGUAAGCGAAUCUCAUAAAGCCAUUCUCAGUUCGGA